rnacentral:rRNA from 1 species
AUUGAACGCUGGCGGAAUGCUUUACACAUGCAAGUCGAACGGUAGAGGGGGCAACCCCUUGAGAGUGGCGAACGGGUGAGUAAUAUAUCGGAACGUGCCCAGUCGUGGGGAUAACGUAGCGAAAGUUACGCUAAUACCGCAUACGAUCUAAGGAUGAAAGCGGGGGAUCGCAAGACCUCGCGCGAUUGGAGCGGCCGAUAUCAGAUUAGGUAGUUGGUGAGGUAAAGGCUCACCAAGCCAACGAUCUGUAGCUGGUCUGAGAGGACGACCAGCCACACUGGAACUGAGACACGGUCCAGACUCCUACGGGAGGCAGCAGUGGGGAAUUUUGGACAAUGGACGCAAGUCUGAUCCAGCCAUUCCGCGUGCAGGAUGAAGGCCCUCGGGUUGUAAACUGCUUUUGUACGGAACGAAAAGGUUUCUAUUAAUACUAGGAGCUCAUGACGGUACCGUAAGAAUAAGCACCGGCUAACUACGUGCCAGCAGCCGCGGUAA